rnacentral:rRNA from 1 species
UACGUAGGGUGCAAGCGUUAUCCGGAAUUAUUGGGCGUAAAGAGCUCGUAGGCGGUCUGUCGCGUCGGCUGUGAAACCCGGAGCUCAACUCCGGGCCUGCGGUCGAUACGGGCAUCACUUGAGUUCGGCAGGGGAGACUGGAAUUCCUGGUGUAGCGGUGAAAUGCGCAGAUAUCAGGAGGAACACCGGUGGCGAAGGCGGGUCUCUGGGCCGAUACUGACGCUGAGGAGCGAAAGCAUGGGUAGCGAACAGG